UACGAAGGGUGCAAGCGUUACUCGGAAUUACUGGGCGUAAAGCGUGCGUAGGUGGUUUUUUAAGUCCGUUGUGAAAACUCGAGGCUCAACCUCGAGACGCGGGUGGAAACCGUAAGGUUAGAGUCCGGAAGAGGAGAGUGGAAUUCCUGGUGUAGCGGUGAAAUGCGCAGAUAUCAGGAGGAACACCCGUGGCGAAAGCGGCUCUCUGGGACGGUACUGACGCUGAGACGCGAAAGCGUGGGGAGCAAACAGG
rnacentral:rRNA from 1 species